rnacentral:sRNA from 1 species
AUGAAAUGCAAAAACUGCAGGCUGAAGCACCACAUAUUGUUGUUGGUACACCCGGGAGAGUGUUUGAUAUGUUAAACAGAAGAUACCUUUCUCCAAAAUGGAUCAAAAUGUUUGUUUUGGAUGAAGCAGAUGAAAUGUUGAGCCGUGGUUUUAAGGAUCAAAUCUAUGAGAUUUUCCAAAAACUAAACACAAGUAUCCAGGUUGUGUUGCUUUCUGCCACAAUGCCAACUGAUGUGUUGGAAGUGACCAAAAAAUUCAUGAGAGAUCCAAUUCGAAUUCUGGUGAAAAAGGAAGAAUUGACCCUUGAAGGAAUCAAACAGUUUUAUAUUAAUGUUGAGAGAGAGGAGUGGAAGUUGGAUACACUUUGUGACUUGUACGAGACACUGACCAUCACGCAGGCUGUUAUUUUUCUCAAUACGAGGCGCAAGGUGGACUGGCUGACUGAGAAAAUGCAUGCCAGAGAUUUCACAGUUUCUGCUCUGCAUGGUGACAUGGACCAGAAGGAGAGAGAUGUUAUCAUGAGGGAAUUCCGGUCAGGGUCAAGUCGUGUUCUGAUCACUACUGACUUGUUGGUAAGUCUCUUAAUGCUUUUUUAAAAUCUACCAAAAGUUAGCUUUUUGGGGGGAAGGUUUUUAAGUAACCUUUGCCAGCUUGGGCUAUUUGGAAGAGUAAAAGAAGACCACACUCCACAGUGGGCUAUAUCACUUAGUAUAGUUCGCUACUCUUUUGUGGCCUACAUGACAGGUGUCAAGUUUUUUUGAAUCAGAAUUUUUAAAACAUGCCAUUGUGUUUCAGGCUCGCGGGAUUGAUGUGCAACAAGUGUCUUUGGUUAUAAAUUAUGAUCUACCUACCAAUCGUGAAAACUAUAUUCACAGGUGAGAAGCCAGCAUCUUGGCUGUAUGGAAAAAAUUCAUACGUUUUUCUACUGUGAUUUGUAUGAAAGGUAACAUCAAAUCAAGGAAUAGAUUCAGUAAAGUCAGUAGUGUUCGGUAAGAUGAUGUAAUUAAAUUUGUACUAGGGAAGGUUGAUGAGAACAAAGUGGGAAAACUUGUAAACAUUGCCCAGAUUGUGGACAUAGGUUUUUUUUUCCACAAUUGUUGGUCUUAGCUUAUGCUUGAGCUUUUAGUGAUGUUGUGUCCAUGUGUUUUUCUUGGUGAUUUUUUCUAUAGUUGGGAUUUUCUUGGUGUCGCUGGUAGCAAUUUGAGUGAACCCUGGUUUAGUUAUAGUGGCUUUAUCCCUAAAUAAAUUGAAUUGUACUUUGUUAUAUGAUGUAAAAAAAGACUUUUUAAAAAAUACAGGAGUCGAUAGCAGCAGUUGAUGACGAGAUGGCACUCAGAAACGGCGUUGACGUAAUUUA